rnacentral:rRNA from 1 species
CCUACGGGAGGCAGCAGUAGGGAAUAUUGCUCAAUGGGGGAAACCCUGACGCAGCAACGCCGCGUGGGGGAUGAAGGUUUUCGGAUUGUAAACUCCUUUUGUUAGGGAAGAUAAUGACGGUAUCUAACGAAUCACCACCGGCUAACUCCGUGCCAGCAGCCGCCGUAAAACGGAGGGUGCAAGCGUUACUCGGAAUGAAUGGGCGUAAAGAGCGCGUAGGCGGGAUAGCAAGUCAGAUGUGAAAGCCUAUGGCUUAACCAUAGAACUGCAUUUGAAACUGUUAUUCUGGAGUAUGGGAGAGGUAGGUGGAAUUCUUGGUGUAGGGGUAAAAUCCGUAGAGAUCAAGAGGAAUACUCAUUGCGAAGGCGACCUGCUAGUACAUAACUGACGCUGAUGCGCGAAAGCGUGGGGAGCAAACAGGAUUAGAUACCCCAGUAGUC